AACAUGUCCAAUGUGAGAAAAAAAGAAGAAGCUGGAGUAUGGCAGAUGAAAGGAAGCCAAAAGUGAAGAAAAAGAGACAAGAGAUUCAUCACGAAUGUGUUGUAUUUAUACCCUAUAUUCAGUUAUCGUCUAAUUUUUCACAUUUGUAAUAGGUUCUCAUAAAUUUGUUUGGAGGACAACAGCAUUCUGUUGUUCUGGCCAAUUUUGGCUAAACUUAUUCUCUAAGAUAAAAUGAUUCGGUUUGGAAUGAAAAUGAAUUUCAAAUUA